GUGAAGAACGCAGCGAAAUGCGAUACGUAAUGUGAAUUGCAGAAUUCAGUGAAUCAUCGAAUCUUUGAACGCACAUUGCGCCCGCCAGCAUUCUGGCGGGCAUGCCUGUCCGAGCGUCAUUUCAACCCUCAGGGUCCCCCCGCCUCGCGCGGUCGGAGCCUGGUGUUGGGGAUCGGCCCGCCCCGCGCGGCGCCGUCCCCCAAAUACAGUGGCGGUCCCGCCGCAGCCUCCCCUGCGCAGUAGUUAUCAACUCGCACUGGAGCGCGGCGCGGCCACGCCGUAAAACCCCCGACUUUCAGAAAGUUGACCUCGGAUCAGGUAGGAAUACCCGCUGAACUUAAGCAUAUCAAUAAGCGGAGGA
rnacentral:misc_RNA from 1 species